AAUUAGAAAAUAAUAUCAAAGAAACUUUUAGGUUUCGGAGUGUUCGUUUGAUUUAGAAUCUACUAUGGAUAUGUUAUGGUGCAAGUAUGAUGCAUGAAGGCUCAUCAGUUGAAGCUACUUCUACUAGUGAUUCCAUUUAUGGGUAAUUUGAAUGAGCAUACUCAAAUCCAUAUCCAUAUAUUUAACAUCCAAUGAACUCAGAUUUCUCCUCAUUAGAGCAGCCAUUCUCUCACUCCAAUCCAUUUAAUAUGAGUUUCUUCUUCAGCUUCAAUCCAUCACAGUAUCAUCAAUAUAAUCAAACUAAUGAUCAAAGCUCCCAAU
rnacentral:misc_RNA from 1 species